GGGAGGCAGCAGUGAGGAAUAUUGGUCAAUGGACGCAAGUCUGAACCAGCCAUGCCGCGUGAAGGAUGAAGGCCCUCUGGGUUGUAAACUUCUUUUAUCUGGGACGAAAAAAGGGGAUUCUUCCUCACUUGACGGUACCAGAGGAAUAAGCACCGGCUAACUCCGUGCCAGCAGCCGCGGUAAUACGGAGGGUGCAAGCGUUAUCCGGAUUUACUGGGUUUAAAGGGUGCGUAGGUGGGUCUGUAAGUCAGUGGUGAAAUCUCCGAGCUUAACUUGGAAACUGCCAUUGAUACUAUAGGUCUUGAAUUAUCUGGAGGUAAGCGGAAUAUGUCAUGUAGCGGUGAAAUGCUUAGAUAUGACAUAGAACACCCAUUGCGAAGGCAGCUUACUACGGAUUGAUUGACACUGAGGCACGAAAGCGUGGGGAUCAAACAGGAUUAGAUACCCCGGUAGG
rnacentral:rRNA from 1 species